GAGGGGGUAGCUCACAGGAGAGCACCCGCCCAUCGGCGGGAGGUAUGUGGGUUCGAAUCCCACCCCCUUCA
rnacentral:tRNA from 1 species